CUUAAGUUUUAAAGAAAAAAAAAUUCUAUUGGUUCUAAAUGUCACAAUUCUCCAAUAAUUUGCACUAUUCAACUUUGGUGGUAUUGGCAGGGCUGGUUCCUUCUAUAGAAGGUGUUUUUCUUGCUUAUUUCAGCUUCCAGGGUUCACCUAUCCUCUGUCUGUAACCCCCUCCCAUGUCUUUAAAUUGUACCCCCCUGUUCAAUACUUUUAUAUCAUAUCCUUUUUCUGACUUCUGCAUUACUUUAUUAGAAUCAUUGUGAUGAUGGCAAGCCAACUUCACAAUCAGGGAGAGCCUUCAUUUUACCUGCUUUAAUUACAACUACAAUGUGCUUUUUACUCUCUGCUAUAAUAGGUACAGCUUUAGUAGGGUUAGGGUUUGCUGGACAGUAUUGUAAAAAUAAAAAAAAAUAAUAAACAAAAAAAGACACAAACACACACACACACACAAGAGUAAAAUGUAGUUACCUAGUUACCUAUAGAGUUUAUUUCAUUUUUCCAUAUGCAGAUAAUUUACUGGGUGAGAGGCAGAGCUAAAUAUAAAUAAAUUCAAAUAGAACUGAGGAUGAUUUUCUCUUUUCAUUAUUUACAACUGAUGCAGAGUCUGUGCUUUAAUACUCUGAAUAUUUUCACACUUGAAUUGACUAAACAAAGCAGGAUUUAAAGUGAUAAUUUCACAGUCUGACUGCAUUCAAAGUCUGGUGCUUUUGAUAUUUAAGAGGUCACGAAUAAUGUCACUUUUUAAUGAUGUUUGAGUGUUUUUUGGAUUUAUAAACUCAUCUGCUGUGAUGUUAUUAUCCAAAGCAAUAAAAGGUUUAUUCUUCUGAAUGGCAGCAUCUAAGGCAGGAGUCUCUAAACAUUGAUUUUUGGUCUGAGGCUCCAUGGAGAUUUCACUUGUCUGGGAUGAAUGAGGAAGAUAAGUGAAAAUGUAACAGUUCCUCAUAAAACUAAUACAUUCAGGUUUAUGACUCUUCUGUGCACUUAGUUCUUUCCCAAACAAUAUAAAAUAAAAAUAAAAACAUCUAUUCCCUUGAAAAAUAGGAAAAUUUACUAAAAUUUACUGAUCAAGUGGAUACAUUACACAGAAUGUAAAUUAUAGCUCAAUACAUUUAUUUUGAAAAGUAAGUUGAUUUCAGAAGUAAUGCCAUGAGGCAUUCUCUGGUGAGAUAUAGUUCCUUAAAAUGUAUAUGCUGACACAAAAUUAACAAGGAAAGAUGUACACAGGAUAGUUGUUCAAUGAUUGAACUAUUUAAAAGUUAUGUUUAAAUGAAUACUUGUAAAAAGAUAAAUAUUAAAUGCCACAUUUUCUUACUAAAUGGGGAGAGUUGAUGGGCUGACAAGAUGUCUCAAUAAGUGACAGCUUGCUGCCAACCUUGAUGAUUUGAGUUCAGCACCCUAAAAGCCAAAUUAUAGGGAAGACUCAAUUCUCUGCAACUUUGUCUCAGACCUUCACACCAAUGCAGAAGCAUGGGUCCAUGUGACUAAAUAAAUAAUUAAUCAAAUAAAUAAAUUGGCUAUAUGUUCAUGGGAGAUUUCAUUAAUAAGUAAAUAAAGCAAGGCAGUGAAAAUGAAGAAAUUAUAUAUUACUUUUAUUAGUAUGAAAGCUGUCACAACAACUUACUUAGGGAAAGGUUUAAUUUAACUCAUUACUUAAGCAAGCAAUUCCAUUAUG
rnacentral:lncRNA from 1 species